rnacentral:lncRNA from 1 species
GAUCUCCAGGUCAAAUUGAUCAAAAUCUUCGGGCUUCGAACUUUGCAUACAAAAUCCUGAAAGAGAAAGGAAAAUUCAAAUUAAAGCUAGAAUUAAUUAAAUCUAAUUAAAUACUAUAGUCCCCAAUGACAACACAAAAAACUUGACAAUUUAAAAUCCCGCAAGUAUACAAUAUUGCAAUCAAGUAAUAAAACGAUGUAUGGAUGGCAAAAAUACUCGUCAAAUUCGAUACCCGUGGACAUUUAUUACCUGCUUAAUCGGGUAAUUGGGUCGAGUACGGGCGCGAGAAAUUCUGCCCCAAGACGAGUACGGGUAACGAGGGCCCCAUUCCAUCCCGUCCCGUCCAGUUUAAUUAUUUUUUAAGAAUUCAAUACUUUAAAUGGAAAAAUUCUACAAAAUUUUAUUAAUUCUAAUAUAAUAUAGCAACUAAGAUUAUUUAAGGAAUAUAAUAAACAAUAAAAACCUUAGUUUACCUAAUAUAUUCGAAUAAUUUAACUUUAAAAAAUUAAUUAAUUAAUUAAAAAUUUUAAUAACUAUAUCAUUACAUCACUUGAAUGAAUGGGGGCAAUAACAUUAAUUAUAAAAAACUAUAUAUAAAAAAAUAAACGGGUACGUAAACGGGACAAUUGUCCCGUCCUGCCUUAAAUGGGUAACAGGGUGGGAACAAGGCGGAAAAAUGCCCAGCGUAGCAAGGGUCGAGGCUCCGCCCCGUUGCCAACUAUAAAAUGAUGAUUAGAGUGUUCAACCCACGAGGACUAAGCUUAAUGAGUUAAAAUUAGUAAAAAAAAAAUUAAUCGAAUAGCAAACAAGUUUAGGUACAUUUAUUCUAAUCUAUGAAUUAAACUAUCUAUUUCUAAAGUUAAAUCAAAUGAGAUUUUUUUUUUUUUUUUAAUCAAAUAUGUGAGAACAAUGCUUAGACUUUGAAUCCCCCUUGUUAAUCCAUUUUCAAUACAAUUAACCAUUUUCACAAAUAUGUGUAUAUAGUUGUUGAUUAAUGUUCCAAGAUUAAUUGAAAACCUUUUUCGAUAGCUAUCAAAUCUAUUUCCAUCAUAUGGCCCUUUCUAUCACUCGAUGAAGAAUGCGAACAUGGCAAACUCAUUUAAAGCUCUAGAACACCUAUAAAAAUCAUGUAAAGCAUAGAUGUAUAUUUUCAUCCCCUAUCGGACUUUACAAUGUUUAUUAUUCCAGCUAAAAACCUAUUACUUUUCUUGAUAACAACAAAUUCCAAUAUAUCAUCUCAAUUAGUAGCUAAUUAAUUGAAGAGUACGGUAAAAAUAAUAAUAAACAUCCAAUCGACAAACAAACGUAGACGUCAAAAUAAUUAAUUAAUACCAAAACAACAUAACAAAGGUGCAUCUACACCUUAGCAUCUAGGAAGUUAGCCUAGCAUGGCAAAAUUACAAGAAAUAAUCAUUGUUUGAGAAUACCACCCGAAAAUCAAUAAAAUUGUAUAAAAGAAGAAGGCUCUUGAACUUCUUGACUUUCUUCGCGAAGUUCUUGAUGAAUCUUGAUUUAGCCUUCAAAUUUUUUCCCAAAAAUCUAGGUAGAAGCUUCCAUUGAUUAAAUUCUUGCAAAGCCCUAUAAAUUCUUCACAGUUCUUCAACAAAUAGCACUUGAUUUUUCAUGGUAUGGAUGGAUGAAUGUUGAGAGAAUUUAUGUAUUUGAGGUGUAUGUAUUGUGUAAAAGAGGGGACUAUUUAUUUAGGAGACAUUCAGGUAUAUAUAUGGGUUGAGUUUAGGUCAAAAAUCUCGUAAAAUCCUUGCCAAGUUGAAUUUGAAUAGAAAAAGAAAUCCGUUGAUUCGUCUGCAACAAUAGCUCUGUGCACACCGGCAUAACUACCGCGCAUGCCAUUAAGCCAAAUGGCUCUUGGGUUGGUGAAAAUAGAGUGUCACACGCACGCCAUGAAUUGCCCCCAUGCACUCGUAGGUUCGCGUGAUUUGUCCCUAAACAGUUUUAGAUAUUUUGGAUAUAACUUUCUCUUCCAAUAUUCGAUUCGAUGGAGGUGAUUCAAAGUGUUUUGGAAUGAUAGCUCAAAGGAAUACAUUUCUCCUAGUAGUACAAUUUCUCCAAUUUGAUCGUUUGAUAUUCGAAAAAUGGGUCUCAAAUUCAGACUAGAAAUUUGAAGUAUAAUUUUUUCGGCUAGAAAUUAAUUUGUAGGAAUACUUCUUCACAGUUCUUCAACAAAUAGCACUUGAUUUUUCAUGGUAUGGAUGGAUGAAUGUUGAGAGAAUUUAUGUAUUUGAGGUGUAUGUAUUGUGUAAAAGAGGGGACUAUUUAUUUAGGAGACAUUCAGGUAUAUAUAUGGGUUGAGUUUAGGUCAAAAAUCUCGUAAAAUCCUUGCCAAGUUGAAUUUGAAUAGAAAAAGAAAUCCGUUGAUUCGUCUGCAACAAUAGCUCUGUGCACACCGGCAUAACUACCGCGCAUGCCAUUAAGCCAAAUGGCUCUUGGGUUGGUGAAAAUAGAGUGUCACACGCACGCCAUGAAUUGCCCCCAUGCACUCGUAGGUUCGUGUGAUUUGUCCCUAAACAGUUUUAGAUAUUUUGGAUAUAACUUUCUCUUCCAAUAUUCGAUUCGAUGGAGGUGAUUCAAAGUGUUUUGGAAUGAUAGCUCAAAGGAAUACAUUUCUCCUAGUACUAAAAUUUCUCCAAUUUGAUCGUUUGAUAUUCGAAAAAUGGGUCUCAAAUUCAGACUAGAAAUUUGAAGUAUAAUUUUUUCGGCUAGAAAUUAAUUUGUAGGAAUAGUUCAGCUAUAUUCCGUUACUUUAGCUCCAAUUGCAUCGAAUCGAACCUUUUGCAUAUUUGAUCUUUGUUUUAUAGUUAGAGUCAACUAUCAAAUUGUUGCAAGUUGGUCCCCACACUUUUCCUUAUCGCUCGCCUGACACUCGAGUGGCGAGGUUGUCACCCCCCUAUUGUCUGCCUGUCGCCAAGCGAUAAGGUUAUCCAAUCCAAACUCAUUUUCGCAUUUUGGACUUUUAUCUAUCUACAACUCGAUUUCUAAGGUUUUAUGUGUAUAGUUAUGACUUAGAUUAUUUCCAUAACGUUCAUACAAUAUUUUGAGAGCUUUAGAUCACAAUUGAGAGUAUUGAGAUCUUGUUGUAAACACAAUUACUAUUGAUUAAAGUGGAUUUCUCCUCAUUUGCUUGUAGUUUUUCCCGUCAUGAAUUCAACAUAAAUCUUAGUAUUCUUAUUUUGUUCUUGUUUAUUUCAUUAUUGUCAUAAUCUUGCGAUCAAUUUGUAACAAGUCAAUUAUCAAUUGAAUAAACAUUUUUUUCAUUAAACCAAUGUAUUUAUUGAUAUUGUAAUUUUCGUUAGUAUGUCAUUUGUUCGCUCCUACUAAAUGUCUUGUAGUAGUUCAAGAUUCAUCAAGAACUCAAAUCUAGCAUUAAGAAUGUCAUCUCUCGUCAAAAUAGAUGAGUACAAUUAAAUGUCAACUAUCAAAUUGUUGCAAGUUGGUCCCCACACUUUUCCUUAUCGCUCGCCUGACACUCGAGUGGCGAGGUUGUCACCCCCCCUAUUGUCUGCCUGUCGCCAAACGAUAAGGUUAUCCAAUCCAAACUCAUUUUCGCAUUUUGGACUUUUAUCUAUCUACAACUCGAUUUCUAGGGUUUUAUGUGUAUAGUUAUGACUUAGAUUAUUUCCAUAACGUUCAUACAAUAUUUUGAGAGCUUUAGAUCACAAUUGAGAGUAUUGAGAUCUUGUUGUAAACACAAUUACUAUUGAUUAAAGUGGAUUUCUCCUCAUUUGCUUGUAGUUUUUCCCGUCAUGAAUUCAACAUAAAUCUUAGUAUUCUUAUUUUGUUCUUGUUUAUUUCAUUAUUGUCAUAAUCUUGCGAUCAAUUUGUAACAAGUCAAUUAUCAAUUGAAUAAACAUUUUUUUCAUUAAACCAAUGUAUUUAUUGAUAUUGUAAUUUUCGUUAGUAUGUCAUUUGUUCGCUCCUACUAAAUGUCUUGUAGUAGUUCAAGAUUCAUCAAGAACUCAAAUCUAGCAUUAAGAAUGUCAUCUCUCGUCAAAAUAGAUGAGUUCAAUUCAAUUGUUCGGUAAUUAACCCAAAUCAUAAAUAUCGACAUUGAAGAAGUUGAAAAUUGACAUCAUUUUACUUGAUUAGUUUAAUAAUGUUAUGCUACUCUGAAAUAUUAAGUAUAACGAUCCGGCCUCUAUACCUUCUAGACCUAGAAAAGGGGACACAUCCUCAUCUAAGAUCUAAAGGUUGAUUUACCUACUGUUCGCUCAAGAUUCAACUUAAAUUUCUCAUAAGGAAGAUAUUAUGAGUUUAAAUCUUGAGUACAUGAUAGAAAUACGUGAUGGGUAAAAUGGUUUCGAGCAUUCCCAAAGUGAAAAGUAAGCCUAAUGUAACGACUUGGGCACGAGUCAUUACAUUAUGAAUGUUCAGUACACUCCAUUGCUUAUUAUUAUAAAAAAAUGUAUAUAUACUAUUUUGCCCUUUCUAGUUUGGUCAAAAUUGAUUUAAUUUUGACUAAUCCGGUCAACUAACGGUAAAUGGAUGUUUUCCAUCCAUUUAGACCUCAGGUGCAUAUUUUUAAAAGGUUUGGAAUUGUGUGUGGCACAAAAUGAAGGUUCGGGAAAAGUCUGCAAAAAUUAAAAAGGUUUGGGACCGUUGCUGCAAUUCUCCCUAAAAAAUAUGUCCUCUCUUCCACAUUACAACAUAUCCUUCUCUCAACGGCUCUAUUGCCAUACUCAAAUCUUCCCUGAUGCACAAAUAUUUCACCGCAUUAGGCCGAACAAACAUAAAGUUGAGUUAGUUUUUGAAGAAGAUGAUGCAGCCGAGGCACAGGGUUGAUCAAGGAAGAAAAUCACUCAAUAACCCUACAGUACCGUUGAAUAGUUCAGCCUACAGAACACACUACUGCUAUAUCCAAGAAAAUGAUGAGAUAAAUUGAGCCCAUCAAAUCAACACAACAAUAAAAGCAGCAAGUUGUAGUAAGCUCAAGGUAUAUGAAGCUAAAUGCCAACUCAAGGAUCAACAUUCCAUAAAUGGUUAAUCAAGUGAACCUAGAAGAUACCAAGGCAGCAAGUUUAGGAGAAAAGCAGCCAUUUAACAGAAGUUGAAUUUGAGAACUAUACAAUUCAACUCAUAUUAACACGAGGAUAUCCCGAUGAUAAGGAGGCGCCUGGCUUCAAGUUACAAGCCGUACCUUGACCAAUAAAAGGCACUUGUUCUUUCAUGACACCUAUUAAAGACAUCAGUUCAAUAUUCCCUUCUAUAGAAAGUCUCAAGCCAUUCCUCCAAGGUAACAACUAAUACAAAACAAUCUAAUUGUAUUGCACUUCAUUCAAAUUUCAAACCCAAAAUAGGAAUUUGACUUGGUCUUCAAAGUCAAUCAACCACCCCUCUAGUUGUAUUACUCUUAAUUUUAACUUCAAACCUAAAAUAGGAAUUUGACUUGGCCGUCAAAGUCGAUCAGCUACCCCACUCAUUGCUAGUGGCCGAGUAGACUAAAGUACAUCUCUUUUGUGGGAUCUUUUUAAGGAAAAACAGAAACAACCAACCCAAUAUGAAAAAUUUUAAGCAUCCAACAUGAGUGACAUUUAGGGAGAGUUGCCCAACAAUUUCAAUCAUAAAAAUUAUCGAGUUAUCUUCCAUAGCAACAAGACAACAUAAAAGCCACCCUUUCGAAAAUUCUUUAAGCCCAUCAUUCGACAAGAGAUAGGCCAGAAUAACAGAUACCACUUCAGUAAAAAACCAAUGAAACAAAGUGACAUCACAACAACAGUUACUGAAGCCAGUUCCUAAGAAAGCUCGUGAAUGGAGCCAAGUCACAAGAACCUUCAUAUCCUAUGAGACGUAUAAAUUAUAAAGUCUUGUUAGAGAGAUCUCUAAAGUCAUAGGAAGUUGACCAUAUAAGAAAGCUAAUGAAUGGAGUCAUCAGCCACGUCAUAAGAACCUUCUGAGCUAAUGGGAAAAUUGCAGAACGUACAAGUAACCUUCCAAAUAAUGCAAGAAAAAAAUGAACUUCAGGAUGGUCGAGUGAGAUUAUGACAGGAAGUCGGGUAUCAUUUGAAUACAGAACUCGUGGGUGCGGAGUCUAUAAUCAGUUUCUUACAAUUGUGUUUUUACCUCCCAAUCGGCACUGCAUCAAGGAAGCAGAUGCACUCAGUCUUCGCUCCAAAGAUGUCAAAUAGGAUAUGGGCUGAGAAACUCAACACAAAUGCUGGACGAUGAUCCGAAGAAGUUGAGGAAAAUGAUAAUGGGUUCAGACAUUCAACAGAAAUGCCGAAGAAGCCAAAAAUGGGAAAAAGCUUUCAUGCUUGCAGAAGAAGCCAAAGCUCGGAAGAUAAGAGCACACCACAGAUGGUUUGUGCUGCCAUAAGUGCACCUAUAAGCAAAUGGGGAAGUAGUGAGCACAAAACUAGAAGCCGAAGCUUGUAGCUUUUGGAAGCUAGAAGGUAUGCUUCUGAGAAAAACGAUGGAAGGUAAGUCAAGAUCAUGAACUUAGGAAGUAAAUGCUGCCAGAUAGAAAAACCUCGUAAAGCUUCGAGUCUAGAAGGUCUUCUCUCCUUAGCGUAGGCACAAGUGAGCCAAGCUCGCACUCCCAAAAGUUUAGACGUCGAAGAAUAAGGGAAAAGAGAAUGCUGCCUCAAGCCAAAGGUGUUGACUUUGCAACCCCACACCAGUCAACUUAGAUUAACAUAUAUAAUUAAGUCUUAAGAAAUACAAGAACCCUGGUUUCAAGUUUCAAGGUGACUUCAGCAAUAAGUUGGCCAUUAAAAAUACUUGUCCUUUCCAGCACGCCUAUCCAUGGAAUAAGACCUCUUUUUGCUUUUGUAGAAGCACUCAAACCAAACCUACAAGGUAACAAGUAAUACAGAGCAAUCCAUUAAUUCCUCUUCUUUGUUCAAGUCAAACCUAAGACAAAAAUUUGACUUGACUGUCAGACUCAAUUUGGCAUUGCACCAAUCUUGAAAGUUGAGUAGACUAAUUGGCAUAUGCUUUAUAGGAUUUUUGAUGGUUCAAUAGAAUUAUUAGCAUCCAUCAUACUUGACAGGGAGUUAUCCUGCAUUUUCCAACAUCAACAACUCCAACUCUUUGGAGUUUUAAAAGUGGCUAAUUAAGCUAGUCUUAGCAACAAGGUAAAUACAUAGAUACGGUAACAAAUCAACCAAAAUCAAGCAUUAUGCACUUAAUUUUAGGCUGGAAUAUAUCUUAAACAAUUAAAAGCAUAAAAUGAUGUGUAGGUCCUUCUUCAAUUAGUUAAUAUUUUCUUUUUACUUAUUUGCAUCUAUACUUCCAGCUCAUGCUAUUAAGUUACAACAAAAUUAAUGCACAAUAAUUUCAUCAAAGAAACGCAGUCAAAAUUUCCUGAAUUCCAACCAUUUUCAAAGAAGCCACUUCCUCACCUUUUUUUCAUCACUUGGACUUGUAGGCUGGAAUAUAUCUUAAACAAUUAAAAGCAUAAAAUGAUGUGUAGGUCCUUCUUCAAUUAGUUAAUAUUUUCUUUUUACUUGUUUGCAUCUAUACUUCCAGCUCAUGCUAUUAAGUUACAACAAAAUUAAUGCACAACAAUUUCAUCAAAGAAACGCAGUCAAAAUUUCCUGAAUUCCAACCAUUUUCAAAGAAGCCACUUCCUCACCUUUUUUUCAUCACUUGGACUUUAUACUCACUCCAUCUCCGCCAGCAAUAAUGACAGCAGUAGUCAUAUCCAAGAACAAUCCAUGCUCAACCACCCCUUCGAAAGCUGCAAUUUCCUUCCCGGCAGCAGCCGAAUCCUUUAUGGGCGUCUUGAAAUACAAGUCCACAAUGUAAUUCAUGUUAUCAGUCACAUAAGGUUUCCCAUCACCAUCCAAUCUCAGCUUCGCUUCGCACCCUUCUUCUUUGAAUAACUCCUGCAGUCUCACCAAAUUGUACUUCCAACAGAAUUGCACCACUUCCACAGGCAUUGCCAGGCCCGACCCACCAAGACCAUCCACCAGCUUCGAUUCAUCCACCACAACCACAAACUUAUCCGAGGCGGCCUCGACCAUCUUCUCGCGCAAAAGGGCCCCACCGCGACCCUUGACAAGAUCAAGAUCUGGGUCAACCUCAUCUGCUCCGUCAAUGGCCAAGUCCAGAUGAGGGUGGGCAUCGAGGGUUGACAAUGGAACGUUAAGACUAGCAGCUUGCUCCUGAGUCCUCUUCGAGGUGGGCACACCCACAAUAUUCGUAAGCUCGCCGGACUUAAUCAACUCGCCAAUCUUGGCCACCACGAAGGCGGCAGUGGACCCUGUACCCAACCCAAGAACCAUACCGCUCUUAACGUAUUCCACGGCCUUAUCAGCAGCAAGUUUCUUGAGAUCAUCUUGGGUCAAUACUGAGGGAGGAGUGGACAGGGCUUUGAUGACGAAUUUAGAAGGGUACCGCAGAUUAAGGUAUGAAGAACCUAGAUUAAGGCGGCGGGUGGCAUUGCGGUGGUUAACGGAGGAAAGUGAUGUGGGAGAGAGGAGGGAUAAGGUGGUGGCCAUGGGAAGCGAAAAUGGGAGGUUGGUGUGGAAUUUGGUGUGUGCU